rnacentral:lncRNA from 1 species
CCACGCCUGGCUAAUUUUUGUGUUUUUAGUAGAGACGGGGGAGACAGUAGUUUAAAUAAGUCCUGGCGUGAAUGCCUUACCCAGAGGGGGCAUAAAAUGAGGGGUCUAAGGCCAGCACCCUGGGAAAUGUCAACGUAAGAACUGCCAGGGGAGGAGGAUCCAGGAAGGGUCAGUGAUGGGGAUGACAAAGGGGGUGUCAUGGGGAAAAGGGCAGAGGAGGAGGGACUAGUGACCACCUCUGCUCUGAGGUCAUGUGGAGCAAGACUGAAAAGAGGCCGGGGAUUGGGAAAUGAGGCCACUGGUGGCCUUGUCCCUGGCGGCUCUGGGAUGUGGGCCAGAAGCCAGUCCCUGGUGUUGAAAUAGGAUCCAAAGAACAGCUCAACUCCAAAUAGGCGCAUUUCCAUCGCCUCCAUCGCCGCUGUAGCUGGUGGCUGUCAGAUUGGACAGCACGGUAGAGGCGGGUCAGGAAAUGCAAGGAGAGCACUUUUGGAAGCGUCUGGAUCCUGGGCCCUCGGGGAGGGCAGGGCCUGGGUCCUGAUGUGAGGAGCCUGGAGCCUGUCCGUGGCCGAGAGGGCCUCCUUCCUCCUUCCUGGCCGACACGUCACCUGCUCCGUCCAGUCCACGAGAAGCAGCUGUGGCCCAAGCCCAUGACCUGCCUUUCUUCCCCAGCGUCACCAUCUGUGGCAGCCUGGGAUACGCAUGAGCUCCUCAGGAGGGCGGAGCUCCGUGGAACACACAUCUGGAUGACAGGAGGGAGCCAGGAGCUGUGAGAAGACGGGGGAGCUGCCGCCGCAAGAAUGCAAGACCCACGGGCUCUACGAUGCGGGGGAGCAGCGGGCAUCUGAGGAAGGGGCGUCAGGGGCACAUGGCCAGCCCUCUUCACCCCACAGUCUGCCCCAGGCCAGCCCCACUAGGAGUGACCCAUUUUCUCCUAGCAGGAUUCCUUGCAUGGGGUGGCCUGGACCCAAAACACCCGCUCUGAGGAUUCCCUGUUAACCACAGAGAAGGUUGACUCAAGUUUCUUUAUUUGGCCAUGAAACUGUGGGGCAUCUCACGGUGCUUCUUGGGUCCACUGGAGAGCCCUGGAAGCUCAGAAGAGGCAAGAGGGGCCUACUUCUCCCUUGUUUGGGCUUUGUUUGCUAAAUACCAAUAUUAGAUUAGGCAACUCUGCAAACAAAACCAAGGCCUGGCCAGCUGCCCAGGGUGUUUAAAGUCCAAGACAUGAAGGCAGGACGUGUGCCCGUGGACUUGCACACGCAAGCAGGCCGAGGGGAGAGCAGCCCGGCAGAGACCUUGGUGGUCCAGGGCUGAGCAAAGGCUUCCCCCACCGGUCCAUCCCAGUGCGCUCAGCACAGGAGUUAGCGGCCACACACUUCAACCAUUGUCUUAUUUUAGAAAAUGACAUCUGCUGGGCGCGGUGACUCACGCCUGUAAUCCCAGCAUUUUGAGAGGGCAAGGUCAGGAGUGAUCACUUUGGGUGGACCACGAGGUCAGGAGUUCAAGAUCAGCCUGGCCAACAUGGUGAAACUCCGUCUCUACUCAAAAUACAAAA